rnacentral:rRNA from 1 species
UACGUAGGGUGCGAGCGUUGUCCGGAAUUAUUGGGCGUAAAGGGCUCGUAGGCGGUUUGUCGCGUCGGGAGUGAAAUCCACUGGCUUAACUGGUGGCUUGCUUUCGAUACGGGCAGACUGGAGGUAUGCAGGGGAGAACGGAAUUCCUGGUGUAGCGGUGAAAUGCGUAGAUAUCAGGAGGAACACCGGUGGUGUAGACGGCUCUCUGGACCGUAACUGACGCUGAGACACGAAAGCGUGGGUAGCAAACAGG